UCCUGCUGUCCCUGGCAGCAUGGUGAGGGAGGACAGAAAAGCUGAUUUCGUUCCCUUAUCUAUCCUGGGAGGCUCAGAGAGCAAGAUCAACCUUCCAGAGCGGCAUCAUGCCGGGCAGCGUGCUGGGCUGCAGGAGUCAGCAGGGUUAUUCCACAAAGUUUCAAUUUGCCCAAAAGAAUUACCUGGGAAGAUAAGAUGGGCAAAUGUGUAAUUGUAGCAAAAGAAAGAAGACAGUAACUGAAGUAUAAUGCUACCUGGGAGCCAGAUGUCAAGGACCUACUACAGUGGACUUGAAGCAGUUCAGGUUGUACAUAGCUUGGUAUAUGUUAUCAAAAGAGAAAAAAAAUUGAAUAAACUUGAUGCUUACAUAAUUCACACUGGCUUCUCCCAAAAGUAGAAUGAGCAUUUUGGAGAAAAACAGCUAUUUCAUAUUCUAAACCAAAGGUUAAUUUCUCUUGAAGGAAAAAUGCAGCAGUGUUUGCCAGCUCUCCUCAACACAUAGCCAUUUGAUGACAACAAGACCUCAUCACCCACUGAAGAUUACUGGUGCACAGAAAACACAAUUGUGCCCUAUAUAUUCCUAUUAUCCAGGAUAAUUUUGUUGAUUUUUACUUUCUAUACAAUGUAGUCAAAAUAAAGACCAUUUAAUUGUCCAA